ensembl:snRNA U6 U6 spliceosomal RNA
UUGCUCGCUUUGGCAGCACAUAUACUAAAAUUGGAACGAUACAGAGAAGAUUAGCAUGGCCCCCUGCAAGGAUAGCAUGCAAAUUCAUGAAGUGUUCCACAUUUUU